UCUUUGUAUAUAAUAUGUGUUGUAUAGUUGAUAAUAAUUAUAUUUUUUCUAGGUAUAUAUUAUAUUGUGAUACGAUAUGAUAAUGACGUAUUAAAUUUACUAAUCUAAACAAAACCGCUAAAACUUAAAAAAAAAAAAAGUAUAAAACAAUCAUUAUUUAUUAAUUUUACCAGUGAUUACCAAAUUCAAUUCAAAGCUACUUACAUUAAUAUCAUACUUUCUUGAAAUAUUAUCAAGGAAUGUGUUUAUCACAAACAGUAUUGAAACUUAAAUCUAGAUAAUUAAUUUACGUGGUAUUAUUUUUUUUUAUCUUUUAUUUUAAAUAAAUUACAAUUUUGAUAUCCAUCGCAUAUCGAUAUACGUUGUUAUUUUAAAAUCAAAAAAAUGUAAUGGUAUUACCCGAAAAAAUAAAGAUAGCCCAAAAUAAAUGUAAUGUCAAACAUGAGAUCUUCUUGUUCCUUAAAUCGUCAAAAAAAAUCACUGAAAAAACUCAAUACUUUUUGAAACAUUAAGUGACACUUAAAUGGAUCACUCUGUAUAAGUAAGAUGGCAAAAUUGGAAUACGCGGGUAUUAUGAACACCAUUAAAAAUGGGUUUAUUAGUUAAAUAAUAUACUGAACACAAAAAUCAAGUUUAAAACUACUUCCAGCUUAGUUUUCUUUUCGUAAAUGUCAAUAUUGUUAAUGAUGUAAAUAAGUCGUAAUGCCUAUAAUUGACUAAAAAAUGACUAUAAAAAAUGUACUAUGAUGUACAUUUUAUUUUCAUUUAUUCAUUAUGUAAGUAAUUAUUAUUAUUUUUAAAUCUGAACUGUAUAUAUAAAAAAUACCGAAUAAGAAAUUUCGUUAAAUUGAAAAUACGGUUCUUUUGAAACAAGAAAAAUAAAUAACUAAUUUAUUAUUUAUUUAAAACACUGCAGUGGUUUGAGUCCAAAAAGUUAAAUUUCAUAUUUUACAUUCGAUCAAGAUUUUUAGUUGAUUUCGAUAUUAAAAUUCCCAUUGCAAGUAAUUUGUUUACAACUAUUAAAUUUACAUUUUGCACAUGGUUUUAAAAUAAAUCUAAACAGACGAAUACAUGAUUUUCUUGAAAUACGGAAUAUACAUUAUAUAUAUAUGGAGGGACUCGAUUUUUUUUAUUAGACAUUUUAUAAUAAUAAACAUACAUAUAUAACUAUUAUAUUUCAGUUUGUAUUAUCAAUUUAUAAAACCAUUUCUGGUAUUGAUUUUAUUAUUUUUUUAAUCAGAAAUCAUUGAAAAAUAUAUGUGUUGAUAACUCAAUUUUUCCGUCACAAGUCAACAAUGCCACCCGUUUAGUCUAGUGUAUAUUCACAAAUACGUGCAAAUACGCAACUACAGUAGACUUAACUAUUUUUUUUACAUGCAAUUCAAAUUUUUUUCAGUAAGGUUAAAGUUGGUAGAAUUUCAGUAAAAUAAAUUUUAGAUUAAGAUUUUGAUAUCAAAUUUAGACGUUUAAUUUUUCCGUAAACAGGUAAAUAAAUUGCACUGUAGAAGAAGUUUACCAUAAUUUGAGCGGUGUUAUAAAAACGCAACUAAUAUAACAAACAUAUUAUGUUUUAACAUUGUUACU
rnacentral:lncRNA from 1 species